AUUGAACGCUGGCGGCAGGCUUAACACAUGCAAGUCGAACGAGUGGCGGACGGGUGAGUAAUGCUUGGGAACCUAGCUUAUGGAGGGGGAUAACUACGGGAACCUGUAGCUAAUACCGCGUACCAUAGGUUGAGCCCACGGGGGAUUAGGUAGUUGGUGGGGUAAAGGCUCACCAAGCCGACGAUCUCUAGCUGGUCUGAGAGGAUGACCAGCCACACUGGGACGGAGAACCGGCCCAGACUCCUACGGGAGGCAGCAGUGGGGAAUAUUUCGCAAUGGGGGCAACCUGACGCAGCCAUGCCGCGUGAAUGAAGAAGGCCUUCGGGUGUGAAAGUUCUUUCGGUAGCGAGGCGUUAACUACAGAAGAAGCACCGGCUAACUCCGUGCCAGCAGCCGCGGUAAUUC
rnacentral:rRNA from 1 species